UACGUAGGGGGCUAGCGUUGUCCGGAAUCAUUGGGCGUAAAGAGCGUGUAGGCGGUCCGGUAAGUCCGCUGUGAAAGUCGGGGGCUCAACCCUCGAAUGCCGGUGGAUACUGUCGGGCUAGAGUGCGGAAGAGGCGAGUGGAAUUCCUGGUGUAGCGGUGAAAUGCGUAGAUAUCUGGAGGAACACCGGUGGCGAAGGCGGCAUCCUGGACCGAUACUGACGCUGAGGAGCGAAAGCCAGGGGAGCAAACGGG
rnacentral:rRNA from 1 species